UUGAUAUUAUAAGGGCACAAUAUAUGCGACAACAAAUGGACAAAGUUGCUUCUUUGUCAAUGCCAACACUACAACAGAUGCUGAUAUUGUUUACGAAGGAAACCACUACAAUAUCCCUGCUUGGUCCGUUAGCAUACUUCGUAACUGUAAACAAGAAAUUUACAACACUGCUAAGGUAAGAAUAAAAAUUCAAAUAAAACCCGAAUACAUUCAUAUAUUUAUUUAUUAUUGAAAAAUGGUUAAUUUCUUGAUAGGUAAAUACUGAAAGUUGGGUCAUGAAAAAGCAAUGUAACGAAGCAGAAAGUGAACCCGAAGCAUUAAAAUGGGUAUGGAGGCCGGAGUUAAUUGACGAUUUAGCCCUUAGAGGCACUGGUAGAGUUAGUGCCAAGAAACUUAUUGAUCAGAAAGUUGCAAAUGAUGUUAGUGAUUACUUGUGGUACAUGACAAAGUAAUAAUUUUAACUCUUCUUAUUUAAAUUUAACAAAGUUUUUAAAAUUUAUCAUAUUCUAACCAAGUUUUGUAAUUCUAUGCAUAGUUUCUACCUUACUAAAAACGACCCAUUAUGGAGCGAUGAUAUGAGUCUGAGAGUCAACGCUACUGGUCAAGUUCUUCAUGUAUAUGUAAAUGGCGAGUAUCUUAGUGACCAAAGUGCUACAUAUGGUGUUUUUAAUUAUGUGUUUGAGAAGAAAAUCAAGUUGAACCCUGGUCCUAAUAAGAUCAUUCUACUCAGUGCCACAAUCGGGUUGCAGGUAAUUUUCAAUAAUUUUGUAAAAGACCGAAUCAAAGAUAAUUUCUGUUUUAUAGUAAUAUUUUGUUGACAUUUUGUGCAGAAUUAUGGGCCAAAAUUCGAUUUGAUUCAAACAGGAGUCCCUGGUCCUGUCCAAAUUAUAGGAAAGAAAGGAGACGAGACAAUAAUCAAAGACUUAUCAACCAAAAAAUGGUAUUACAAAGUUGGAUUGGAUGGAUUUGACAACAAAUUCUUUUCUGGAAAUACAUCCGAAUGGCGAGUUGAUGAUCUUCCUAUUUCUCAAAGGAUGAUUUGGUACAAGGUAUUUAUGGAAUCAAUAAUCAAACCAAAAUCUGUUUUUGUUAAUGGUUUUGAUUAAUGAAAUCUCUGUUAAUUGUUUGUAAUCAGACAACAUUCAAGGCUCCAUUAGGAAACGAACCUGUGUCAUUGGAUCUGGAAGGAUUAGGUAAAGGCGUCGCUUGGGUUAACGGGAACAACAUCGGAAGAUACUGGCCGAGCUACAUCGCUCAACAAACCGGUUGCUCGAAUGAAGCUUGUGAUUAUCGUGGGCCAU
rnacentral:lncRNA from 1 species